UACGAAGGGGGCUAGCGUUGUUCGGAAUUACUGGGCGUAAAGCGCGCGCAGGCGGUCUUCCAAGUCAGUGGUGAAAGCCCGGAGCUCAACUCCGGAACUGCCAUUGAAAACUGUUAGACUUGAGGACGAGAGAGGUGAGUGGAAUUCCCAGUGUAGAGGUGAAAAUUCGUAGAUAUUGGGAAGAACACCGGUGGCGAAGGCGGCUCACUGGCCCGAUACUGACGCUGAGGCACGAAAGCGUGGGGAGCAAACAGG
rnacentral:rRNA from 1 species